UAGGGAAUCUUCCGCAAUGGGCGAAAGCCUGACGGAGCAACGCCGCGUGAGUGAUGAAGGUCUUCGGAUCGUAAAACUCUGUUAUUAGGGAAGAACAAAUGUGUAAGUAACUAUGCACGUCUUGACGGUACCUAAUCAGAAAGCCACGGCUAACUACGUGCCAGCAGCCGCGGUAAUACGUAGGUGGCAAGCGUUAUCCGGAAUUAUUGGGCGUAAAGCGCGCGUAGGCGGUUUUUUAAGUCUGAUGUGAAAGCCCACGGCUCAACCGUGGAGGGUCAUUGGAAACUGGAAAACUUGAGUGCAGAAGAGGAAAGUGGAAUUCCAUGUGUAGCGGUGAAAUGCGCAGAGAUAUGAUGAACACCAGUGGCGAAGGCGACUUUCUGGUCUGUAACUGACGCUGAUGUGCGAAAGCGUGGGGAUCAAACAGG
rnacentral:rRNA from 1 species